rnacentral:rRNA from 1 species
GAUGAACGCUGGCGGCGUGCCUAAUACAUGCAAGUCGAGCGAACAGACGAGGAGCUUGCUCCUCUGACGUUAGCGGCGGACGGGUGAGUAACACGUGGAUAACCUACCUAUAAGACUGGGAUAACUUCGGGAAACCGGAGCUAAUACCGGAUAAUAUAUUGAACCGCAUGGUUCAAUAGUGAAAGACGGUUUUGCUGUCACUUAUAGAUGGAUCCGCGCCGCGUUAGCUAGUUGGUAAGGUAACGGCUUACCAAGGCGACGAUGCGUAGCCGACCUGAGAGGGUGAUCGGCCACACUGGAACUGAGACACGGUCCAGACUCCUACGGGAGGCAGCAGUAGGGAAUCUUCCGCAAUGGGCGAAAGCUUGACGGAGCAACGCCGCGUGAGUGAUGAAGGUCUUCGGAUCGUAAAACUCUGUUAUUAGGGAAGAACAAAUGUGUAAGUAACUAUGCACGUCUUGACGGUACCUAAUCAGAAAGCCACGGCUAACUACGUG